GCGCGAAUUUAAGCGCAAGUGAUUGGUGACUCGGGGCUCACUCAGGCGGAGGCUAUGCGUCUCACCUGUGGUCACGAGUUGUUAGUUCGUUCGUGAUGUAGGAAUUCAGGCUCACUCAGGCGGAGGCUAUGCGUCUCACCUGUGGUCACGAGUUGUUAGUUCGUUCGUGAUGUAGGAAUUCAAGCUUUCGGGCGGAAGCUAUGGUCGACGCCAGAGGCCACGAGUCGUUUAAUUUAAGUUAGGUCAUAAUGUAGUCGUCAAGCUUUCGGGCGGAGGCUAUGGCCCUCGUCAGGGGUCACGCGUCAUAGUUUUUAAAAUGUAAUGUUCGUUCGGGAUUUCAAGGGCAGGAGAGGCCCCUACGUUAUUUUUUUAAAGUAAUCGAUCAAGAAAGGCUUUUCGGAAAAUGUGAGUAUGGACUUAUCUUUGUUUUAAUUUUAAGUAUUAAUUAUGAUUUGAGGUAUUCGGAAGGACUAGGGAAGUGUUUAGUGAAGUUCUCUCAUUCUCUCUCUUGUAAGGUCGUUCAAUCGUUAAGGAAGUAAAGAGAUUAUUGUUUUAAAUUGUAAUCCCGCUAUUUAAAUGUUCUUUAAAAUGAUGUUGAGUAUUUGACUUUAAGAAUAAAAUAAUUUUAAUUAAGUAUUAUGUUAUUUUGCAAAAUCUCCUUAGUUCAGCUCUCACCAGACAUCCUGUACGGGAUGACGAACCUAUGAUCCUAGGUACAGUAAAGUAUUUUAUGAAGUUAAGACUAGUUGAUGCCAAGCGAGUUGUUUCUAUGUAAAGAGCUACGAUUCUCGCCCCCCCCUCUGAAGGUGGAUCGUGACAGAAAUGGCGGUGGCACCGGCUAGGUGCACGUGACAGAAACGGUAGAGUUCGCGGGAUAGGUUCUAUUUCUGGAGAGAGAGAGAGGUAGAUUUUUAUGUUUAUUAUUAAGUUAGUUUCAGCUUCUGAUAGCAGGUUAUUAAGAGUUUACUUGAGGAGAGGAUUACGGAAUUUAAUCUAAGUGGAGGAAGUCUUUGAGAUUUUUUUUUUUGACGUAACAGAUGUUUAUUUGAGGAUACUUGUAAGGAUAAAGUUUAUAGUGAUAAGUUGUUUUAAGUCGUUGAAUUUAUUGUAGAUUUAUAUCGGGGAUUAUUACGUGAGGAGAAUACGUUAUAAGUUAAAUGCUUAUUAGAGAUAAUGCAAGUGGUUUAAUUUAAUUGAAGUUCAUUUUAAGAUUGUAGGUUAAGAGAAUUAUAAUUUAAAAUAAAGUUUUUUGUCGUAAAUAGGAAUUAUUUUCAAGAGAAGUUUGUUUUGUUUUCGUGCGCGUAGGAGACGAGACGUACGAAUUAAAUCAGUCGAGGGAAGGAUAAACGUUAGAAAGGAAUUAAAGAGAAAACGAGAGUUUAUGUAAAAGAGAGUUAUAGAAUUUAUAGUGAUGUUUUGUUUUAAUAAGAAAAAUGUUGAGAGUUGUUUCAGAACGACACGUCAGUGGACGUGGCAGAGUGAACACGUGACGGGGAGGUGCUGAGACCUAGCGGAGAACGGAGGAACCGCAAGCGAGGGUUGGCGCACCUGAUGGAAUUCGGUGACGUCACGGGCUCAUACGGAGACGUGGACAGGCCGUGACCUUGUUUUGAUCAGCUGUACGGUAACUUAGCGAUAAGAAAAUAGACUAUUGGUUAAAUACAUUUAAAUUUAAGUGUGUUUUAGGAGAAGAGGAACUUUCAGUAUAUUCCUUAAGAUGAGCUGAGCAGCAGUCCAGUUUACAAGAUGACAAGAGUUCGAGAGACAAGAUACAAGAUCACUGAAACAAGAGCCAAGACUGAAGAUUCAAGAGAAGAGAAAGCUGGCAGCCAUGGACUUACAAGUGGAGAUUAAUAAGGUCAUGUAAAGUUUUAUUUUUUUUUAUGGAAGACAGUAACUGGAGUUUUUUUUGUUAUAAACAUUAUUUACAGAACUUUUUAGGUUAUAGUAAUGUAAUGGAACUAGUGAGUUGUGGUAGCUGUCAAAAAGAACUAAUACCUUAAGUUUAAUUUUUAAAGUUAAUUUUCUUAAUUUACAGAGGGAUUAGUAGUUUUUUUUAAAACCUUAUUUAGGUUGGAAUUUAAAUACAAUAGCUUAUUAUAAAUGUGUACGAACAGUUCAAGUUCACAGUACUGAUAGGUAGGUCAGAUGAUCUUAUUGAUUUUGAUGAUUUGUUGUUUUGAGUUGAUUUUUAAGUGUUGUGAAUUAGACAAUGAAAUAGUUCUGAAAACUUAAAUUAUUUCAAGCUAAGAAAUAGUAAAGUUAAUUGUAACUCAAAGGACACCAGAAUUUAAUUUUUUUUUGAAUUAGUAAUGUUUGAAAAUUUUAUACUUUACAAGAAAGGUUAUAAACAAACAGAUCGGAUGGAACAAGGAUGCAGUAAAUCACAAUUUCAUUUAGAAUUAUUGAUUAGCUUUUGAGGUUAUGAAGUAAAAGUAAUUAUAGUUUAAAAGUUUGAAUAAAAAAAAAAUGUUUUUUUUUAUUUGUUUGAAAUAGAAAGUUUAAAAGUUAAUUAGUCAUGAUCUAGGUGGGUGAUGGGGUGGGAAUUGGCCACUCUUUUUCCCUAUAACCUCCCUAACAUGGCCUUCUAUUACAACUAACAGAAAUAAAGAAGAAGAAAAAUGAAGAAUUAUUAGUUAGAAUGUUUCUUUCAUGAAGAUACCUGAUGAACUUUUACUGUUUGGAAGAAUAGAAGCAAGGUUAGUCAGAUAUUUUUACUCAGAAGAAGAAGAAGAUAAAGCAGUUUUAUGACUCGACAAGCCAGAGAUUGGUGUUUCCCCUCUGCGCUUCUAUUGACUACGUUGUUUACUCUCAUGGGAUAGCUGGUUCGGCACCAUGGAGAGAGAUUGGUGGGCAUUGUGGUUGCCCCCAGAAGAAAAGAAGAGUAGAAGAGGUUAUGGGUGGGUCAUGUGAACUGACCUUCAACCCAGUUACUUCGUGGGGACUAUUUGCUGUAUAGAGAAGAUCAAGACUCAAGAGUUAGGGAAAAUCAUUGGAGGUCAUGUUUCCCUUCCUUAAGUUUUUCCUAUCAAAUUAUUUGCCUGAUUAGAUUAUGCUAAGGGUGGGAUACUUUAUGUUAGCAGUUGUAUUAAUUAAUUUUAUUUUUUUGUGUGUUUGCAUCCUUGCCCAUCGAUUGCAGUUUAGUAGUUAGUUUUGUAUUUGUCAGGCGUGAUGGUAAUGCCUGUUGAUGAUGUUUCAGAAUUGUAAUCUGUUCGUGAUGAGGAUGGCACAACUCCGAAGCAGAUGUGGGGAGAAGUUGUGAGCUGCCCUGGAAGCCAGUCCAGUAGCUGUUGGAGUUGAGUGGUGUUUGCUGAUGGCCAGCCCAGGGAGCUACUCUUCUCGACAACACUGACUUCGAGGAGUUGCACCAACCUUCACGAGAUAAGAGUUUAAUUAAUUGAAACACUGUAAGGACACUUAAUUUUUUUUGAAGAACGAAAGAAGUAUGGUAAUAAACGGAAACCGAAAAAAAAAAAA